rnacentral:rRNA from 1 species
GACGAACGCGGGGGCGUGCUUAAUACAUGCAAGUGGGACGCAAGGAAACACACUGUGCUUGCACACCGUGUUUUCUUGAGUCGCGAACGGGUGAGUAACGCGUAGGUAACCUGCCAUAAGCGGGGGAUAACUAUGGGAAACGAUAGCUAAUACCGCAUAAUAUUAAUUAUUGCAUGAUAAUUGAUUGAAAGAUGCAAGCGCAUCACUAGUAGAUGGACCUGCGUUGUAUAAGCUAGUUGGUAAGGUAAGAGCUUACCAAGGCGACGAUACAUAGCCGACCUGAGAGGGUGAUCGGCCACACUGGGACUGAGACACGGCCCAGACUCCUACGGGAGGCAGCAGUAGGGAAUCUUCGGCAAUGGACGAAAGUCUGACCGAGCAACGCCGCGUGAGUGAAGGAGGUUUUCGGAUCGUAAAGCUCUGUUGUAAGUCAAGAACGUGUGUGAGAGUGGAAAGUUCACACAGUGACGGAGCUACCA